AGUCCGUGGUGUGGACAUUUUCAAAGCAAAUCUCUAAAUCUUUCCCAUACUUCAUAUAAUAAUUCACCUUCUUGUUGACCAAAACUAGUGAUAUCCAUUCUAAAUUU